rnacentral:sRNA from 1 species
CCUCCCGUCAGGUCUCCUGGUCCAGCCCCGCCCGCGCCUCCUGCUUCCAGCGAACCUGUUCCCUCCCCCCACAUCCCCCGCCCUCCAUCUCCCCCGGCUCUGGGACCCUUCCCGCCGACCUCACCCCCACCCCCGGGAUGGAGCGGCUCGAACCCGCCCGGAGCCCCCCGCGGCCGGGGUGACGGUCCCCCCACCCCUCUCCUGCCCGGCCCCCGCCUCGAGCACCAUGGGCCUGAGGGGUUCCCGGGGCGCCAGACGCUGAAGAUGACCGAUGCCGGAGCUCUCUUGAGUCAUGGCUUCUUCAAAGCUCCGAGAACCCGUGGAUGAAGUUUUUGACCUGGACUUGGCUGUGCCAGAGACGGCCAGACUGGACAGCAGUUUACACAAGGCCCGGGCCCAACUGUUGGCCAAGGGCCGGAGACACCGGCCGUCCCGCUCCAGGCUUCGGGACAGUGCCAGCUCCGCGGAGGAUGGUGAAGGCUCGGAUGGGCCCGGAGGCAAGGUUGGGGCAAGUUAGGAAAACACACAUACACCCUCCCACCACUCCCUCUCCUCCCACCCCUGGAUAAUCUCUCCAGAGUGCUCUUCCAGGGAAACCACAUACCCAGAC